UGUUAAUACCCGCGCGGUAUUUAACUUAAAAAUUCUCCCAGGUCAGAAAUGAAGCAAGAGUAAUUAGGAAGAGUAGGUGCGCGGGCCUUUUACUAAAA
rnacentral:SRP_RNA from 1 species